rnacentral:tRNA from 4 species
AAGGUACUAGUAAAAACAUUACCCUGCCUUGUCGAGACAGAAUUGUAGGUUAAACCCCUGCGUACCUUA